GACGAACCGUGCGAACGUUGUUCGGAAUCACUGGGCUUAAAGGGCGCGUAGGCGGGCCGGACGGUCCGGGGUGAAAUCCCCGCUCAACGGGGGAACGGCUCCGGAUACCGCCGGCCUCGAGGGGGUAGGGGCGAGCGGAACGCUGGGUGGAGCGGUGAAAUGCGUUGAUAUCCAGCGGAACUCCGGUGGCGAAGGCGGCUCGCUGGGCCCUCUCUGACGCUGAGGCGCGAAAGCCAGGGGAGCGAACGGG
rnacentral:rRNA from 1 species